GUCGUACGAUUAAGCUCUCUUCGGAGAGUGUAUAGAGUGGCGCACGGGUGAGUAACACGUAAGUAAUCUACCUUCGAGUGGGGAAUAACAGUCGGAAACGACUGCUAAUACCGCAUAAUGCAGCGGCACCUAAUGGUGACAGUUGUUAAAGCAUUUAUGUGCUUGAAGAGGAGCUUGCGGCAGAUUAGCUAGUUGGUAAGGUAAUGGCUUACCAAGGCAACGAUCUGUAGCCGACCUGAGAGGGUGGUCGGUCACACUGACACUGAAUAACGGGUCAGACUCCUACGGGAGGCAGCAGUCGGGAAUUUUGGGCAAUGGGCGAAAGCCUGACCCAGCAACGCCGCGUGAAGGAUGAAGUAUUUCGGUAUGUAAACUUCGUAAAAAUGGGAAGAAUAAAUGACGGUACCAUUUGUAAGGUCCGGCUAACUACGUGCCAGCAGCCGCGGUAAUACGUAGGGACCAAGCGUUGUUCGGAUUUACUGGGCGUAAAGGGUGCGUAGGCGGCGUGUCAAGUCAGUUGUGAAAUCUCUGAGCUUAACUCAGAACGGUCAACUGAUACUGUCAUGCUAGAGUGCAGAAAGGGCAAUCGGAAUUCUUGGUGUAGCGGUGAAAUGCGUAGAUAUCGGGAGGAACACCUGCGGCGAAGGCGGGUUGCUGGGCCGACACUGACGCUGAGGCGCGAAAGCCAGGGGAGCGAACGGGAUUAGAUACCCCGGUAGUCCUGGGCUUAAACGAUGGAUGCUUGGUGUCCGGGGU
rnacentral:rRNA from 1 species